rnacentral:tRNA from 1 species
GCGGGUGUCGUAUAACGGCUAUUAUGAUUCCUUCCCAAGGAAUAGACGGCGGUUCGACUCCGCUCACCCGCUCCA